rnacentral:tRNA from 1 species
GAAGAGAUGGCUCAGCGGUUAAGAACACUGACUGUUCUUCCAGAGGUCCUGAGUUCAAUUCCCAGCAACCACA